AUUGAACGCUGGCGGCAUGCCUUACACAUGCGAGUCGAACGGCAGCGGGGGAGAAGCUUGCUUUUCCUGCCGGCGAGUGGCGAACGGGUGAGUAAUACAUCGGAACGUGCCCUGUAGUGGGGGAUAACUAGUCGAAAGAUUAGCUAAUACCGCAUACGACCUGAGGGUGAAAGUGGGGGACCGCAAGGCCUCAUGCUAUAGGAGCGGCCGAUGUCUGAUUAGCUAGUUGGUGGGGUAAAGGCCUACCAAGGCGACGAUCAGUAGCUGGUCUGAGAGGACGAUCAGCCACACUGGGACUGAGACACGGCCCAGACUCCUACGGGAGGCAGCAGUGGGGAAUUUUGGACAAUGGGCGAAAGCCUGAUCCAGCAAUGCCGCGUGUGUGAAGAAGGCCUUCGGGUUGUAAAGCACUUUCGUCCGGAAAGAAAUGGCUCUGGUUAAUACCUGGGGUCGAUGACGGUACCGGAAGAAUAAGGACCGGCUAACUACGUGCCAGCCGCCGCGGUAA
rnacentral:rRNA from 1 species